rnacentral:rRNA from 1 species
ACUCCUACGGGAGGCAGCAGUGAGGAAUUUUGCGCAAUGAGAGCAAUCCUGACGCAGCAACGCCGCGUGGGUGAAGAAGGCCUUCGGGUCGUAAAGCCCUGUCAGGUGGGAAGAAAGGCACAUGGUUGAACAGGCUGUGUGUUUGACGGUACCACCAGAGGAAGCACCGGCUAACUCCGUGCCAGCAGCCGCGGUAAUACGGAGGGUGCGAGCGUUAUUCGGAAUUACUGGGCGUAAAGCGCGUGUAGGCGGGGAGGUAAGUCUGAUGUGAAAGCCCUGGGCUCAACCUGGGAAGUGCAUUGGAAACUGCCUUUCUUGAGUACUGGAGAGGAAGGGGGAAUUCCCGGUGUAGAGGUGAAAUUCGUAGAGAUCGGGAGGAAUACCAGUGGCGAAGGCGCCCUUCUGGACGGUUACUGACGCUGAGACGCGAAAGCGUGGGGAGCAAACAGGAUUAGAUACCCUGGUAGUC